CCCUGAGAUGAGUCAUCCCUGACCCCUUGAGGGUCCUAAAGGGCCGUUGGAGACCACAACGUUGAUAGGUGGGGUGUGUAAGCGCGGCGACGUGUUGAGCUAACCCAUACUAAUUACCCGUGAGGCUUAACCAUACAACACCCAAGAAGUGUUCU
rnacentral:rRNA from 1 species